GCCAUAUACAGCACACUGAGUAUACCAAAUAAUUAGGAACACCUUCCUAAUAUUGAGUUACACCCCCUUUUGCCCUCAGAACAGCCUCAAUAUGUUCGGGGCAUGGACUUCUACAAGGUGUUGACUCCAAUGCUUCCCACAGUUGUGUCAAGUUGGCUGGAUGUCCUUUGGGUGGUGGACCAUUCUUGAUACACACGUGAAACUGUUGACCUUGAAAAACCCAGCAGUGUUGCAGUUCUUGACACAAACCUUUGCGCCUGGCACCUACUACCAUACCCCGUUCAAAGGCACUUAACUCUUUUGUCUUGCCCAUUCCCUCUCUGAAUGGCACACAUACACAAUCUAUGUCUCAAUUGUCUCAAGGCUUGAAAAUCCUUCUUGAACCUGUCUCCUAUACUUCAUCUACACUGAUUGAAGUGGAUUUAACAAGUGACAUCAAUAAGGGAUCAUAGCAUUCACCUGGUCAGUCUAUGUCAUGAAAAGAGCAGGUGUUCCUAAUUUUUUAUAUUUUUUAUUUUUUUCCACCUUUAUUUAACCAGGUAGGCUAGUUGAGAACAAGUUCUCAUUUGCAACUGCGACCUGGCCAAGAUAAAGCAUAGCAGUGUGAGCAUACAACAAAGAGUUACACAUGGAGUAAACAAUUAACAAGUCAAUAACACAGUAGAAAACGAAGGGGGGGUCUAUAUACAAUGUGUGCAAAAGGCAUGAGGAGGUAGGCAAAUAAUUACAAUUUUGCAGAUUAACACUGGAGUGAUAAAAGAUCAGAUGGUCAUGUACAGGUAGAGAUAUUGGUGUGCAGAAGAGCAGAAAAGUAAAUAAAUAAAAACAGUACGGGGAUGAGGUAGGUGAAAAGGGUGGGCUAUUUACCAAUAGACUGAUGUACUAAUGUUUAUAUACUCAGUGUAUGUCAACAUGGUGGCAUGAUGAUAAGAUAUUGGAGUUUUUCAUGUUUUUCAGGAACCAGAGACAGUAUCCAUAGAAGCCAAUGAGUGGAAGAGAGCAGCCUCACAUGAUCAUUAGCACCACUUCUGGACUAUGCUGUACUCUAGAGGCUGUGGACUGUGUAGAGACUGAGAGACGAGUGGAGUCAGGUCAGUGCAUGUUCUCUCUAUUCCCACUGUUUGAGUGCCCUUUGCGAGGAUGUCAUCAUUUUGUUCCAGUAUAUGAUAAUAUGGCUAGGAUCAUGAUAUCCAGGCCUACUCUGAAACACUUUGUUUUGACUUUGUUUUCCCUACUUUGAUUCAUACUCAGUAUUAUUCUGCCUUAUGCGCUUUCCGACUGUACAUACAAUGUAUUGUAAAGUUAUGUGAGGUUUUCUCAGAAAUACUAUAUGUCAGCAAUUGAAAUGACUAGGUAAAGGGAAUUACUGUAUUCCAAUCAGAUGUGGGUCACCUGUUUACCAUGACCAAACAUUACAGAAGAGCUGAAAGUCAUGCAUCCUUCUGUUCAGUUCCAUUGAAACACAAAACCUAAGUUUCCAGUCCAAAACCCUUCUCAAACCCUUCCAACGCCUUGUCUACAAG
rnacentral:lncRNA from 1 species